CCAAAGGAGGACGUGAGGGCUGGCAAUUAAAAGUGAUUUAUAAAACCCCCAGGAGGGGAAAAGAGGGUCAUCGGGAAGAACGAUCUUUGGCGAUCCAUUUAUAAGCCCAGCUAGCAGGCAGGAACUCUGGUUCACCCUUGACAGUGAGCGAGAGCCAGUAUCUGUUUCAGGGAGGGCUUGUCGCUCAGGCUCACUUCAGUCAGAGCCUCUGCGGAUGACCCUCCUGUUCGACCUUCUGUGCUCAGGGCGUCGGACUCCUUCCCCGGUGGCUUGAUGUCCUAGGACGUCCUUUGCCAGUGCAUCUGGGAAGGGGAGGCUUUUUCCUCCUCCCAAGUCAGGGGGUCAGUGAGUAUCCUAUUACCCCUCUUACAAGCUUGCUCUCCUACAAAAUGCAAGCGCUUCCGUAUGUAGUUCUGUCCAUUUUUUUAAAGAGGUGCCAGGCUCAUAUUUGCGACUAGCCUCUCCCGCUUCUUUUCUCUUCCUUUUUUUGCCUUCCCCUUCCCUCCUCUUCCUCUCUUCCUACCAGUGCAAUUUAGAGACUGGAAAUCAAGGAGGAAAUGGAAGCUUGCCCUUAACACCUGCAGCGGGACAACCCAGUGAUCGUGCUGAUACUUUCUGGUGACAGAAUCUAGUGUGGGAGCCCACUCGUGGUGGGGGAGCCCGGGGACGAGUUGGUCUGGGCGGGAGAUCACUGAUUUGCGGGGCUUUCCCCCAGCCUCACCAACACCCGGAGGCCCGUGAGCUGCAGCGGUGCAUGUCUCGACCCCGGAGAGGGCCAGAGCGAGAGGGUGGCCCCACGGUCAUUGUCACCCGAGCAACUUGCUUUGAUAGAUGCCUUCAUUCUUUCAGGCUGCCCGGAUACCAAGGGGCUUGAAUUAAUAAUUGACUAAAAUUCAUAGGCCAGUAAUUGUCUACAUGAAAUGUGGUCUGGUCUUCAUUUCAACUUGACGGUUCUUGUUCUCCUGCUGGAUUUUUUUGUUGUUGUUGGUUCUGAGGAAACAUUAGAAGGAUGUGGAUGGGUGUGCCCUAAGUGAUUUGUGGUUUAGCUGUCUCCUUUUAAGUGAAAAUACCCGGCAAACAAAAGGCCCAGCCUGUAGGUCCAGAAAACGAUUUGCAGAAGUCCAGGGUCUGGUAAUGGGAUUUAGCGGGUACAGGAAUAAGACAGGCUAAAGGUUGGUUGAGAAUAAAGUUAAUAUUCAGUACUGUAUUUAUAUUUAUUUAUGUAUUUGUUUUGUUAUUAUUUUUUAAGCGUUUAUUUAUUUUUGAGAGAGAGAGAGGGACAGAGUGUGAGCAGGGCAGGGGCAAUGAGAGAGGGAGACAGAGAAUCUGAAGCAGGCUCCAGGCUCUGAGCUGUUAGCAUAGAACCUAACACGGGGCUCGAACCCAGGAACUACGAGAUCAUGACCCGAGCUGAAGUCGGAUGCCCAACCGACUGAGCCACCCGGGUGCCCCAAGAGUGUAAUUUUGGAAGGAGAGUUGUGAUCGUCUGAUUCUGGCUUAGUUGGGCCCCCCGUGGCUUACAGCUGGGGUCUGCCAGGGGCACUGCUCCUUAAAGGGGUCAUAUCGAAUGGGGGCACCAUGAGAGGAGAAGAACCAGAUCCAUGUGGGCAUCCCAAACCACGCUGCAAGGGAAACUGGGGGAGGCCUGUGAUUGGUUCUUGGUGAAGAGAGCUGAAGGGCCAUUGGGCCGUUUGGGGGCACAUGCCCAGGCCAGGACACCAAGUGGUGCUGCCUCAGCAUGAGGGACCCCCUCCAGCAGAUCUCUUUGAGGGGAUGGAGUUUUGAUGACCACCCCAUUUGUAAGCAUCAGAGAGAAGCCUUGUCCAACCACGAGACUUGAUGGUUUUCAAAUGGACAAACCUGAUUUUAAUAAGUUUAAGUGAAAUCUGAUAAGUAGAUCAAGACGAAUCAAGCUCCUGUGUAGUUCUAAAGAGCUGCCUGGACCUAUAGCAGUGGGGUGUCAACUCUCCCUCUGCCUCAGAGACUCGUCCGGUUUGAUACAUCCUUGCAGUCUUGACCUGCCCGUGGCCUGUCUGCUAAGGCAUUUCCUCCUGCCUCUGUUUCAACGUGUCUGCUUCCCUCUCAAGGAGGCGUUUUCUUGCUGGGAGCAGAUGAUUACCUAUUCAUAACAUUUGUUGGAAUUGGUACAGACAGAAUUCAGUACAUUUCUCUCUUUUGACUUUACCAUCAAAAGCCAGAGAUGGGGAGGGCAUCUGAACUGACCCAAGUUUUGGGAGAACAGUGUGGCAGCUCUUCCUUCCUGGCUGACACUGUGGAGGGAAAUCCAAGCAGACUCCAAGAAAUCCAACAAGCAGGGUAGAAUUAAAAACCCCGUCGUUCCAAGUUUCUGAUCUGGGGCCAGAAUACAGGCCGUUGAAACUGUGUGGGCAAAUGCUCCUGCUUUUGCUUCCUGCAAGAGACACGGAGGGGCAGGGCUGGUGCCCUGGCGAGGGCCAGGGCCAGUAGCUUAAGAACAACUCUGAAAGUGGUGUAGAUGUUUUCUUAAGUCUACAAGAAAAAGAAGGGGCAGGAGGAAAAGUACCUUGAGAUUAGCUGUUUACCUUCCCCCAACCUGUUGAAAACAGGAAGGCAGAAUUGCACAGUAGAAGGAGAUGUAAUGCCGAGUCACAGAACCGUUCCUCACAUUGACCCAUCGCUUAUCCUAAAGUCAAAGGCACAGACGCCUCCACCCCCCCCCCCCACCCUGCCCCAGGGUGGACAACCAGAUUUCACUUUACUGUGUAUGGCACUGUGGUUCUUGGAGGUUGCUGGAAUGGCUGCAAGAUACCUGGGUCUGCUUCUGCCAUCUGAAAGCAACACACCGUGCUUGCUUAUUAGCUACCUUUCUUGAUUAUUAAUGACACCAUUUGGACCGAGACUCCCAGGAAGGUUCUGCUGACUUCAGCUGGCUUGGCCUGUCUGCCAGCGCAUGGACCAUAUCCCUCCCAUCUGAAGACUCUCACUAUUGGAGUCACCUUUGAGGUUGACAUUUUGAGCUAGGCUUUCCAGCUGGGUCCUAAGCCCCGGGCUUGGCCAGCCAGUGAGUAGGACCACAGAAAUGGGGAUGUGGCCCCAGAAGGGGAUCCGACCCCAGCCCUGGGACAUGAGAAUGAAAUGGAGGGGCUGUGGGCCUUGCACGCACGUGUGCGUGCAUGCGUGCCUGUGUGUGUGUGUGUGUGUGUGUGUGUGUGUGUGUUAGGAUGGAUUGGACAAGGCAGGGAGAGGAAACAAAGGAAAGAUAAAUGGUGAAGAAGAACUUGGAAAAAAUUGAAUUAGAUUUAUUCUGACAGUGUGUGGGCCUACAGCUGUAACAUUAUAAAUCACUUGCCUACAGAGGAAUUCACUUCCUGAGCCUUGCACAGCUUCAUGAGCCUGGCAUGCGUAUGAGAACAGAACCUAGCAAUCUGAGAAGGGAAAAUGACGGCUUGCACAACUGUGGCUUGAAACCACAACUGGUGAUUUGGUCAGCACAAGGGGCUCCUGGGACUCGGGCCCGGCGUGGCAGGGAGCUGAGACCGCUGAGGCAUUCACUCCCAGUACUUCCAGGAUGGGAUCUUAAAGAGCAGACUGAAAAAAGUGUUUUGUGGUGGCCACAUGGCCUUGAACUCUGGAUUAAAAAUGAAAUUAAAGGGAAUUUGGGAUCUGAGGAUGAGCCCAGGAUUGGAGCAUCCACAGAAGGUCUUUGUUCAGGUGAUCCUUUUCUAGAAAUGGGAUGUCCGACUGACCAGCACAGACCCGGGUUCUCUCUCCGAUCCUGUCUGCAAGAAUAUCCACAGCUCUAACGGGUUGGUGGGUACGUACCAUGAGCUCAGAAAUUGUGGUUGAUUUAAUAAAUGAAAAAUCAAAUCCUGGUACAACUGGGAAUUGCUCUGGUCCCCUGGGUCAACAUGACAUGAAGUCUUUCCCAGUUUUGUUCUGUAUUUUUUUAAUGAUAUUUACCUGCUAUUGUAGCUCCCUUGCACUAUAUGUAGCUUUCCACAAGUGCAGCGUUUGUGACUUCUCAGCCUGUGGAGAGCAUAGUUCCAUGCCUUGUGUGUGCCUGGCCCAGAUCCAUGUUAAACUGACUUGAGUUUAUACGUAAGUGACCAUUCAUUAGGGAGUAACAUUUCCUUGUCUAGACAAAUGAAGGAAGAGGCUCUGACACUUGCCUGUGAUGUAUAAUUGCACCUGACUCAUUAACUGGACAUUGCAAUGCUGGGGAGACUGAAGCAAGGUUCAGCUACUUGUAAUGAGAAUGGAUCCACUAAGUCCUGUGAGAACGGCAGGUCUGUGGGCCACAGGGGGUCCACUUUGUGCUACUCAACACUCAGCUCGGGAAGCAUCUAUCUACCUGCCUCCCAGUGUACCAUUGCUCAGAUGGUCAGGUGCAUUCGGGGAAUUUUCACCUCCCCUGCCAGCACUGUAAUGGCAGGUGCAGAGCAGACCUGGUCAGUUCCUCCAUUUGGGUCCUGGGUCGAUGCUGACUGUCCUUCAGAAGGUCUGUACAGCUUUGCUGCCUGAGGACACCCUGUGUGCAGUGCCCUUUUCCCUAGGUGUACAUGGAAAGGAGGUUGUACAAAGACCCAGAGAGUAGAGGCUCUGAUUUGUGGUGUUCUCAAGGGCAAGCCUGCACCUUGACAGCUUCCAGGUGUUGAGAAUCAAGUUCUUCGGAGUCACCAUCUCUUGUCCUUUUCAACUAUGCAAGGUAAGUAUUAAUUUCCAUUGACUACACUUUAUACGCAAGAUGACUAAGUUACUGAGGUGGCAAGGAUCUGGCUCAAGACUCUACAGCUUUCUCAUGGGCUUUGUAUAACCAGUACCUAGCACAACAGGUAUACGUUGAUUUCCAUUCAAUUUCAUUUCUCUUUACCUUCUCAAAUCUUUCAACUUGGUAUUUCUGUGGGCACAAGGAAACACACUCUGUUCUCUUGCGGGGCAAAGGUAAAUCUAGUGCUGAUGAUGUAGAAAAUAGUAAUUAGGAGGAUACAAAGGAAAAAGCAAAGAUUGAAGAGGGUUGGGCCUCCAGAUCUUACACUUCAAGCCCCCCCCCAUCUUUGCACAUGGAACCUUUGUUGUUCCACGUCCUCACUACCUACUCUGAAGCUCCAAGGGAGAGUCGGUUUCAUAUGUGCCUGGUGACGUCCAGCUCCAUCCAUCUGAUCAUGGACUCCUGCUCACACAGAGGCCACACAAUGCCCUAGGCCCCUCUCUGCUACCUCAGCAGAACGUUUGCGCUGCUCCCUGAGCUUUAUUUUUAGAAGCCUCCCUGGAGAGUGCAUCUACCAAUAUUGUAUUUCAAUCUAUGAUGGGCUCGGUACUCCACCUCAUUAGCUCAAGUUCAGACAGUGUGCCCUAGACAGUUGUUCCAGGGCUGGGUUGUCACUUUGGCGCAGUGUCUUAAAAGUACUGGGAUGGUCUUUGUAGUAACUUACAAUGGGGUGGGAGUAGAGAGAAGAGCCUAAUGAGAGGCCUUUGAGAUGCGCACAAUUUCUUUGCCCUUGAGUAAGACAUGCAUUUUAUUAAAUCUUUUUGCAACCACAAUCCUGCCAUCUGGCCUUGGGGCAGAAUCGAAAGAGAACUCUGCUUGAAGACCCAAGGCAGACUACGACUCACAUUUAUAUUAAAUGAGACUACACCUGUUGUUCUGGACUGCAACUGGAAUUGGAAAGGAAAUUUAUUUCCAUGAAUGGAGAAGUGUCAGAGUGAGCAGGCACGUGGCAGCGGAAGCAUGGGAAUAGUCUCACGAGAAUAACGUCAAAGCACAAUGAUUGUCAGAGACUUUAGAAGAUAAACCAACCAAACAAACAUAUAGAAGUUACAUGUGCUGUUAGUGCAGAAGCUUCCAGAUGGAUGCAAGAAUCAAAGCCUUCAAGAAGCUCAUGUUAUUUCCUACAAAUAAUUUGGAGGACACUGAGACAGAUGUGCAACACAGCAGUGUGGGGUGGGAGAUCUGGGUCCUGUUCCAGCUUUGCCUCCUGUCAAAUGUCUCACCCUGGGUAAGUCAUUUAUUCUCUAGGUGUUUCAGUUUGGUCAUCUUUAAGAUGGGAUAAUUAUAUCCACUUCUGUUGAACAGAGUCAGAGUGAGGACAUAUGUAUUUUGGUGUGUUCACGUAUAUAAGGCUGGAGAGAAAGUGGUUAAGAGGAAGCCUUUGGCCAGUGGCCUGGGCAGUUCAGUUGGCAUCUUCAGGUAUAAAUGGAGUUACUUGAAGGUCUUCCAAGUGUUUCCCUCCACAAACACUAACCUUUCCACCUUUAGAUUCUUUUUUCAGGAUCCCAUAGGAAAUUUGUGUAUUUCAUGGGUUGUUGACCCAAUGGAGUAAGAUUUCUAUUUCAAUUUAUCUCUGUUCCACUUAUGCUAAAACUCAAGUUUAGAUUGCUACUAGCUUAGAUUCAGUUAGAAUCUGUAAGUUAGAAUGCCUUUUUGGAACAUAAUGUCAUGGGUAGAAGUUUUCAGAUGAGCACAUCUUCUGUGAUUGUACGGCAUAGUCCACAGUUCACUGACCCACAUCAGCACAGAUUUGGUUACCUUUUGAUGCUUCAGGGCAUGUGGCCUUUUAGGAGAGAAAUGACGCGCUCAAGUGAGAGGUGUAGCAUAAAUAAGUUGUACUGGAGA